AUCCAUCCAUUCCGCGUGAGUGAAGAAGGCCUUCGGGUUGUAAAGCUCUUUCGCAAGGGAAGAAACGAUACAGUUUAAUAAACUGUGUUAAUGACGGUACCUUGAUAAGAAGCACCGGCUAACUACGUGCCAGCAGCCGCGGUAAUACGUAGGGUGCGAGCGUUAAUCGGAAUUACUGGGCGUAAAGCGUGCGCAGGCGGCUUUGCAAGACAGAUGUGAAAUCCCCGGGCUCAACCUGGGAACUGCAUUUGUGACUGCAAGGCUAGAGUACGGCAGAGGGGGAUGGAAUUCCGCGUGUAGCAGUGAAAUGCGUAGAUAUGCGGAGGAACACCGAUGGCGAAGGCAAUCCCCUGGGCCUGUACUGACGCUCAUGCACGAAAGCGUGGGGAGCAAACAGGAUUAGAUACCCUGGUAGUCCACGCCCUAAACGAUGUCAACUGGUUGUUGGACGGCUUGCUGUUCAGUAACGAAGCUAACGCGUGAAGUUGACCGCCUGGGGAGUACGGCCGCAAGGUUGAAA
rnacentral:rRNA from 1 species